rnacentral:lncRNA from 1 species
GGGCACUGGGUGGAGGCAGGAGGGCACCGAGAGGACUGUGGGGAGUGGGGGGGGGGGCAGGCAGCAGCAGCCCCCCGCGCUGUGGGGCAGCCCCGUGUCUCCCGCAGGCCCCGGCCCCCCGGCAGCGGCCGUGGGGCCGUGGGGAGGCCCUGGCCAUCACUAGCUUUGUGGGCCCUGAGCCCCGGGAUCUGCUGCCCUGCCCCAUGGCACUGCCCCACGGCCCCACAGCUGGUGAGGGGGGCCUGGGGUGGGGGGGGGGUCUCUGCCCCACAGCAGGCCCCACUCUGGCCCCCAAUGCCAAUGGCCAACAGGGUAACUGGGGGCACUGGGAGGGACUGGCCUCCCCCCCCAUAUCCCCUCCCAGCAGCCCCCAGGGCCGACGUCGCCACAGAGGUGGGGAGCGAUGGGGGGGGCUGGGGUUUGGCCUGCCCUGGCUGCAGGUGAACACUGGGGGGGGGAACUGGGAGCACUGGGGGGGACUGGGGGCAGCUGGGAGCACCGGGGGGGGGGCGGAAUGGGGGCAACGGGAGCACUGCUGUUGCGCCGGGGCGACGGCUCCGUGCCAGGCCGCGGUGAGUGGGGCCCGCAGCGACCCCCCCCCCCCCCCCCCCGCGGCGGGUCUGGGGGAAACGGGGCCGCCGCGCUCCCCCUGUCCCAUGUGUCCCCCCCCCCCCAGCAACUGCGCUCGGCAGCCCGGCGCUCUGCGUCACCCCCUCCCCCCGUGGGGGAGCCCUGCUUCUGCCUCCUGGGACGCUGGGACCUGCGCUGGUGGGUGCCCCCCCUGCCACAGAAGUGGGCUCGCCCGGGCUCCCCCCAUCCCCGCGAUGGUUCGCUCCAUGGGCUCCUCCCAGCUCCCCCCAUCCCCGCGAUGGUUUGCUCCAUGGGAUCCUCCUAGCUCCCCCCCCCCCAUCCCCAUGAUGGUUCUCUCCAUUCCCUCAAUGGGAUCCUCUCAGUUCCCCCCAUCCCCACAAUGGUUUGCUCCAUGGGCUCCUCCCAGCUCCCCUCGCUGCAGCAAUGGUUCGCNNNNNNNNNNNNNNNNNNNNNNNNNNNNNNNNNNNNN